UUUCCAGACUCCUACGGGAGGCAGCAGUGGGGAAUAUUGCACAAUGGGGGGAACCCUGAUGCAGCGACGCCGCGUGGGUGAAGGAGUACUUCGGUACGUAAAGCCCUAUCAGCAGGAAAGAAAAUGACGGUACCUGACUAAGAAGCCCCGGCUAACUACGUGCCAGCAGCCGCGGUAAUACGGAGGAUGCGAGCGUUAUCCGGAUUUAUUGGGUUUAAAGGGUGCGCAGGCGGAUUUUUAAGUCAGCGGUCAAAUCGUGGGGCUCAACCCCAUCCAGCCGUUGAAACUGGGGAUCUAGAGUGUGCGAGAGGUAUGCGGAAUGCGUGGUGUAGCGGUGAAAUGCAUAGAUAUCACGCAGAACCCCGAUUGCGAAGGCAGCAUACCGGUGCACAACUGACGCUCAGGCACGAAAGCGUGGGUAUCGAACAGGAUUAGAUACCCUUGUA
rnacentral:rRNA from 1 species